AUGGGCAGCAGAUUACAGGUAGACAGUUCUAAGGUGCAACUGCUAUUUCAUCAGUUAUGCACAAGGAAAUCUAAGGGACCUGAUGGGAUCUCCGCCCAGCUUUUUAAAACCUGUGCUGCAGAACUUAAUCCAGUGUGGUGUACACUCUUUCAGCGUUCAUUGGACUCACAUAUAGUUCCUGCAAUCUGGAAAAAAGCUGUGAUCAUUCCUAUUCCGAAAAAGCCACACCCGUCCGAGAAUAAUGAUUUUAGACCUGUAGCAUUGACAUCAAUAAUAAUGAAAUGUUUUCAGAAGUACAUUGUGUCCAUAUUGAAAAGUGAAGUAACAUCUAAACUAGAUCUGUGCCAGUUUGCAUACAGACAGGGCAGGAGUACGGAUGAUGCAGUAGGAAGUAUCACCCAUCUAGUAUCUAAACAUCUGGACCACUCAAAAGCAUACGCACGCCUACUUUUUAUUGAUUUCAGUUCAGCUUUUAAUACUUUGCAACCCUAUUUAUUAUUGGAGAAAUUAAAAGAGAUGGAUGUAAAUCCUUUUAUUAUUAAAUGGUAUUUUUCUUUUCUAACGAAUAGAACACAACAGGUUAAGGUUAACAAGAAGAUUUCCAACCCUCAGGAAAUUAGUACAGGAGCCCCGCAAGGGUGUGUCAGCUCCCCAGUUCUCUUCACACUGUACACAAACAGUUGUGUGAGUAAUAAUAGUAAUAACUAUAUUGUGAAAUUUAGUGAUGAUACUGCGAUUCUGAGCUUAUUAUAUAAAGAUCAAGACAUUUCGUCUUACUGCUCUGAGAUUAAUGAGUUCAUAGAGUGGUGUGAUGCCAACCACCUGAUUGUAAAUGUGAAGAAAACUGAAGAGAUGAUAUUUGAUCCAAAGUCAAUCGGAAACCAUAGCCCUAUAUAUAUUCAUGAUGUUCCUGUCACACAAGUGUCCUCCUAUAAAUAUCUUGGUGUUUACAGAAAUUUAGUGAUGAUACUGCGAUUCUUAGCUUAUUAUAUAAAGAUCAAGACAUUUGUCUUGUAA
ensembl:lncRNA